UACGUAGGGGGCAAGCGUUGUCCGGAAUUAUUGGGCGUAAAGAGCGUGUAGGCGGUCCGGUAAGUCAGCUGUGAAAGUCAAGGGCUCAACCCUUGAAUGCCGGUUGAUACUGUCGGGCUAGAGUCCGGAAGAGGCGAGUGGAAUUCCCGGUGUAGCGGUGAAAUGCGCAGAUAUCGGGAGGAACACCAAUGGCGAAGGCGGCAUCCUGGACCGGUAUUGACGCUGAGGCGCGAAAGCCAGGGGAGCAAACGGG
rnacentral:rRNA from 1 species